rnacentral:piRNA from 1 species
UCAGUAUGUGACAUACGGCAUGGGCGA